rnacentral:lncRNA from 1 species
CCCCUAUACAAUAGAUCAAAGAGCAAAUGAGUCCUUUUUGUUAAAUCUCAUCCAUUUCCACAAUUAAAAACCAGCAUGGUUGGUAGAAUAACCAGACCAUUAUAUGUGGCGUGUCAUGAAUACCUCAUUUUGGCAUACGGUGACCAGUUUUUAAUGGUAGAGAUGGACCUUUUAGCAGGGGAUCAAUGUGCUUUUUGAUUAACGUACAGGGACUAAUUUGUUCAUUUUUUGAAUAGAGGGAGCAAAAUGCAAUUUGACUCCUAGUACAAGAACCUCCAUGGUAUUCUUACCUUACCAUUGUUGCUUUAUGAAUGAAAUAUUUCCAAGGCAACCAAGAUAACAUGCUACAAUAUAUGAAUUAAGAAUGUUUUUGGGCUUUUUUUCCCAGUAAACUCAUUGUUUUUUUUCUUUUGAUAAAUGAUGUUUGUAGUUAUCCAAAGAAGUCGGCAGAUAAAUUGACAUAUUAUAAGGUUUUUGGCUUGCUUCAUUGCAUCAUAGGGUUUCUGUUGGAAAAUGUGGCUUUUAGAUGUGUCCUUUUCGAACACUAUGAGGCACUUUUUUUGAAUAUUUUAUAGUCUAAUUCCAAGCUGAGAUGAUCUAGAAAUUUGUCAAUUUCUCUUUCUCGAUUCUCGCUCUUAGGUGCUUUGCGUUUUUUUGGUAUAUUUUGUCAGCAUAUGGAAGUAUUUGCAGUUAGUUUUAAUUGUAAAUUGAAGUUACUCGAUUCAACUAAAAGCUUAGGUCGAGCUAAGUUCUGCCAUCUAGCUCUUGGUUUACCUUGCAUUUGACACAUGAGGAAAACCGUAAAAUGCAGCAGCCAGCGUUUUAGUAAAGCACACAAAUUGUCUCUGAUUGAAUGGCAUUAACCAUUCCUAUAUACUACAAGAUAUCUCUGCUCUUUUUUUUCAGUCACUAAAAUUCCAUGUGUAAAUAUACGAAUUUAAUUUUGGCAGAGAAGGAGAAUGGUCCAAGGACAAUGAAAGAUGUCAAGCUAAUUAGUGCAGGAAAAAUACUGGAGAAUAACAAAACAUUGGGAGAAUGCCAGAGCCCUCUUUGCAGUAUUCCUGGUGGGGUGACGACUAUGCAUGUCAUUGUUCAACCUCCUCUGGAGAAAGGUAGGAUUUCGAAAAUGAUAAUAUGAAAAUUUUCAUAACAAGCGGUAACGAUUUCAUCGUUUUAAGGUUAUAUAUAUAUAUAAGUGGAAAUCCUUUUCCAUAACAAGCAAUAAACAUCUAUUUCCUUUUGUCAUUUUGUGAUAAUGCUCUUUAGGUUAAAAAGGGAAAACCUGUUUGUUCAGAAAUUGUUCAAAUUUGCUGUUUGAGGGUAUAAGUACCAUGGAGGUCCUUGUACUAGGAGUCGGAGUGCAUUUUGUCCCUUUUAUGUAAAAAAUGAACAAAUUAGUCUCUAUAUCAAAGAGCAAACUGGUCCUUUUGUUAAAAGUUUCACGCAUUUCAAAUGUUAAAAAUUGGUUCAUGUACAUCAAAAUGAGGUACAUGUGAUCAUUUUGUAUAACUAUCAGGUUAUUUUGGUAGCCACACCAGCUUUUACCGGUAGAGAUUGAUGAAAUUUUUCACAGAAAGGGCUAGUUUGAUCUUUGAUCUAACAUAUAGGAACAAAAUUACCCAUUUUUUGAAUAAAGGGGCAAAAUGUAAUCUGACUCCUAGUAUAAGGGCAAUCAUGGUACUUUUCCCGCUGGUAGAGCUUUUCUGCUUUUUAGGUCAAAUUGAAAACUUGGUUUGCUUGGCCAUUUCUUGUUUAUAGUAUUAGGUUCUGGGCUGAAACCAACCAUGCAUUCAUGCUACCUUCUCGUGUUGUCCUUUUCUGAACUUGGAACUUUUUUGAUGGUGCUUUUUGUGUGUGUUCCUUUAAAUUAACUUUUGUUAUCUUUC